GUCCAGUACUUUAUUUUUAAUUGGGACUUGUCUGGCUUCAGCAUUUAUCCAUUGGCUCUUGUUACGGCUUUCUCUGGCAGAUUAAAGAGUUCUUUAGUACCUGGUAUUUUUUCCCCCAGGAAGAAAUUUAUAUGCGGGAAGCAAGUAACCUCUUGAUCUUUUUAAUAAACUAAACAAAUGGCUCCCUUCGAAUCCUUGGUGUAGUACGUUUUUCCCCCAGUUUUGGGUAAUGUUUUGGGGCUUUUCAAUCCUGUCACCAGAAAACAAGCCGGGAAGAAAAGAGAAGGAAACAGAAACAAGUCCAAAACCCUGGAAAAUCAGACAGGCAAGCCCUUCCUCCCCUUUGUCUGUAUGAAUACAUUCUUUCCCUUCCCACUGCCUUUGAAACAAAUUUGGGAAAAUACCACUCACCUAGAAGACAUUUUCCCAAUCUCUGUAUGAUUUCAGAUUAAUUAUUAACCGCUAUCACCAGCGAUGGAACUGGCUGUCAGCAUCUGAGUGAGGGGUAAAAAUGACAACAGAUCUGUGUAUUUAAGCACACGUAGAUGUUCAGGCUAUCAGUGGGAAUUACAGGACGGGUUGCGGAGUGCCCGAGCAUCUCUCCUCACUCCGCCGUGCUGCUCCGGCACAGAGCCCGGCUGGGGCAGCGAGAGAAUGGGCCCCGAUGGGAGUUUCUUCUCCGGUCGGCCCCGGGAAUGAGGCAGCCCGAGAAGCUGAAGUCGUGCGAAAGAGCCAGUCACGGCAGGAUCUGAAGAGGAGGAAAAUAAAGCAGGCCACCUUCCCUUCUUUGCUGGAACCUGCUGAGACUGGUCACAACCAUGGGGGGCUUCCCAGGCUGGCACCUUGGCAAGAAAUGACCUUCGUGGUGUAACCGAGUGACAACGUAUGGCUGGGUUCAAUAAGAAAGAUUAAAAAACGAACCUGACCAUUAAUAAAAAGAGAAGCAGACUGGCUGAGUUUCACUGGUCCUACUGAAGGGAGUACGAAGAACAAGAAACAAACAGCACUAGGUGAGAAAAGGUCAAAAAGCAGACUGUGUGACAAGAAAGAAAUUGGAGAAGACUGAGAUAAUGCCCAAUUAGAUCAUGCAGUUCACCUCCCUGGGGCCCAUGACAGACUGUCACGGACUCAACCAUUCCUGAACAGAGAAGGAUACAAGUAUGUGCUAAGAGUUCAGCACAUGCUUAAGUGCUGGAGACUUAAAGAGGAGCUUUAACUGCUGAGUGCCACCAGUGAGAUGCUGAAUUCCCCCCCAGGAGUGACUGUAUUUCAGUGAUGGUUUAGGUGGUCCUUUACCGCAUUUUGCCAACCUCUACUACAGUCCCUGAGCUCAUGAAGUUUGCAUGGCUGAACUGAUGAUCCCUUCUUGAUGACUCUCCCUCAAAGACUCUACAUAGUUUCAGAAAUUAUCUUUAUUUUAUACCUAGAACGUUGCCUUUGCAAACAUUUUACCUCACCACAUGUGUCUGUGUGUCUUUCAUACCUUUUACUAUGUAUUUUAUUGUCCUUGCCAUUUUAAAAGCAGGAACAUUAUUUAUAGGUUGAAUUAAUGAGCAGAUCACCUGACGCUGAACUGAUCCUGGAUGUCACAGUGCUCUAGACCUGAUGUUGAUGCAAACAGGACACGAGCCUCUGGGCUGC